GAUGAAGAACGCAGUGAAAUGCGAUAAUUAAUGUGAAUUGCAGAAUUCAGUGAAUCAUCGAGUCUUUGAACGCACAUUGCGCCCCCUGGUAUUCCGGGGGGCAUGUCUGUCCGAGCGUCAUUGCUGCCCUCAAGCACGGCUUGUGUGUUGGGCUUCCGUCCCUGGCAACGGGGACGGGCCCAAAAGGCAGUGGCGGCACCAUGUCUGGUCCUCGAGCGUAUGGGGCUUUGUCACCCGCUCCCGUAGGUCCAGCUGGCAGCUAGCCUCGCAACCAAUCUUUUUAACCAGGUUGACCUCGGAUCAGGUAGGGAUACCCGCUGAACUUAAGCAUAUCAAUCAGCGGAGGA
rnacentral:misc_RNA from 1 species